rnacentral:rRNA from 1 species
UACAGAGGGGGCAAGCGUUGUUCGGAAUUACUGGGCGUAAAGGGCGCGUAGGCGGCCUUCUAAGUCGAACGUGAAAUCCCUCGGCUUAACCGGGGAACUGCGUCUGAUACUGGAUGGCUUGAGUUUGGGAGAGGGAUGCGGAAUUCCAGGUGUAGCGGUGAAAUGCGUAGAUAUCUGGAGGAACACCGGUGGCGAAGGCGGCAUCCUGGACCAACACUGACGCUGAGUGAGCGAAAGCCAGGGGAGCAAACGGG